UGACAAUAUCUGGAGAGAAUAAAUGCCUACGGGAAUGUGGAAACUUAUUCUUCAGAAUAAGUCUUCUUCAGAAGACCACCUCACACCGGAAUUAGCCAGAAUUGAGUUACAUGGCAUUUCUUCAACUAUGCGAGUAGAUGGGAUUGCCAUGAUGGGCUGCAAAUUGCCCCAGAGCUGAGGACAAUAUCAGUUUCCUCAAGGUCAUGUAUGGUGAUGAUGAAGGAGGUGAGAUAUUUGAACAUAAAAGAAGGAAGAAUAGAGAAUGAGCAUCAGAUAGACGAUCAGUGGUGGACUGGGGCUGCCUUGUGCAGGAAAAGAGCAGAACAUCAAGAGAGAAGGGUGAUUUAUCCUGUGACCAGAGUGCACAGAAUCGACUGGAGAAACUAAUCAAAUCAGACUUGAUAAAGCCGAUGCUGCCUUAUAUCCCCUGUGCCUAGAAGCCUUGUCAAGCUGGUCUGCCAUAGAUUCUGAUUUAAAAUACAAGCUGACUCCUUCACGCCUUCUGAGUAGCAAUCCAGCUGCAUGGA